rnacentral:rRNA from 1 species
GACGAACGCUGGCGGCGUGCUUAACACAUGCAAGUCGAACGGUAAGGCCCUUCGGGGUACACGAGUGGCGAACGGGUGAGUAACACGUGGGUGAUCUGCCCUGUACUUCGGGAUAAGCCUGGGAAACUGGGUCUAAUACCGGAUAGGACCACUGCCUGCAUGGGUGGUGGUGGAAAGCUUUUGCGGUGUGGGAUGGGCCCGCGGCCUAUCAGCUUGUUGGUGGGGUGACGGCCUACCAAGGCGACGACGGGUAGCCGGACUGAGGGGGUGACCGGCCACGGUGGGAGGGGAAUACGGCCAAGACUCCUGCGGGAGGGAGCAGUGGGGAAUAUUGCGCAAUGGGCGCAAGCCUGAUGCAGCGACGCCGCGUGCGGGAUGACGGCCUUCGGGUUGUAAACCUCUUUCAGCACCGACGAAGCGCAAGUGACGGUGGGUGCAGAAGAAGGACCGGCCAACUACGUGCCAGCCGCCGCCGUAACAC